rnacentral:rRNA from 1 species
GACGAACGCUGGCGGCGUGCUUAACACAUGCAAGUCGAACGCUGAAGCUUGGUGCUUGCACUGGGUGGAUGAGUGGCGAACGGGUGAGUAAUACGUGAGUAACCUGCCCUUGACUCUGGGAUAAGCCUGGGAAACUGGGUCUAAUACUGGAUACGACAUGUCACCGCAUGGUGGUGUGUGGAAAGGGUUUUACUGGUUUUGGAUGGGCUCACGGCCUAUCAGCUUGUUGGUGGGGUAAUGGCUCACCAAGGCGACGACGGGUAGCCGGCCUGAGAGGGUGACCGGCCACACUGGGACUGAGACACGGCCCAGACUCCUACGGGAGGCAGCAGUGGGGAAUAUUGCACAAUGGGCGGAAGCCUGAUGCAGCGACGCCGCGUGAGGGAUGACGGCCUUCGGGUUGUAAACCUCUUUCAGCACGGAAGAAGCGAAAGUGACGGUACGUGCAGAAGAAGCACCGGCUAACUACGUG